GAGUAUCUAGGCAUGGAGAUAUUAAUGACCCAGAGCAGCAGAAGACAGAGUUGAAUUAUUUCAUUGUCCUCAAACAUCAUGCAUAGGUGUCUACUGGAGACAUCACAUACCAAGUGGCUUUGCUUGAUCAAUGCCUGAAACCAGGACAUGCCAACCAGUAUUGCUCAACACUUGCAGGCAUGGAAAUGAGAUGAUGAGAGAUGGAUAACACCCACACACAGACUUUGGUUCUAUAUAAAACUUCAAGUUUUUAGAUUUGACUUCAGAGAAAAGACUGUUGGGUUAAAUUAAGUCUCAGCCACUCCAGCAGCAAAGAGUUUUAAAUUUAUG
rnacentral:lncRNA from 1 species